AAAAUUAUUCGUCGUGAAUCUCGAACUCAGAGGAAAAGCACAAAAGUCGCGUACGGAACUCCGUUAAACUGAAGUCGCGCUGCCAAAGUCGAGGGUCUCCGAGCAUCCAGCAGGCAUCGAGUCACCACGACAUUUAAUCGAACACUAUGGCUUCACGAGGGGCAAACGUGGUGCUCUCAAGGGCGAACAGGAUGAAGACGAAGUUGCAAUCAGCAUUAUCAGCGAGUGUUUUGGAAAUCGAGGACGUUUCGCACCAGCACGCUGGGCAUGCGGGAGUUAAGGGAAGCGAUGGGGAGACUCAUUUCAAUGUAAAGAUUGUGUCACCAAAUUUCGAAGGGCAGAGCCUUGUGAAGCGCCAUAGAAUGGUGUAUGAUGCGUUGGCUGAUGAGCUUCAGUCUGGAUUGCAUGCAAUUUCAAUCGUGGCAAAGACUCCCCAAGAAACUGGAGCAAAAUGAUGUUCAGAUUCGUCUUACAGUGGAGGCCAAAUUGGCACAAGCGGAUCUGUUUCGAUUUCGGUUAUCUUUCAACCUUGUCUUCUUAAAAUUGUUAGGAUAUGAAGUUGAUCACAUAUGCAAAGAGUUGGAAUACUUUCACCAUGUGAGUCAGUUGCAGGUAUUAUUUCAUCAACACCCUUUGAGACUAUCCACCAAUUUACCAAUCCCUGGAAUAAGUAAGUUACAGAAAAGAGUCGGUACUGGUCUAUAUUUUAUAUCAAUAUUUAUAUGAAUGUCUGCAGAGUAAUUAAUUAGAUUUAGUAUUUGAUAUAAUGAUAAUAAUUAGAUCCUGAGAUGCUCAUGUGAACAAAUUAUUAUUAUUUGUUUAACAAGUAUGUAUGAGAUAGUGGAUUUGAAGCUUAUA